rnacentral:tRNA from 1 species
UAACCUACUGGGACUCGAACCCACGCGGAUUGCUCCACCGCGACGUUCAAAUGAGAGCAGAUAUUGCUAACAAGCCUGAACACGGCGCCAUAACCACUCGGCCAUCUGAUU